UUUUUUUUUACCUUUAACAUUUUUUUUACUUUUUUUUU
rnacentral:sRNA from 1 species